rnacentral:rRNA from 1 species
AACGAACGCUGGCGGCAUGCCUAACACAUGCAAGUCGAACGAAAACUCCGGGACUAGUGGCGCACGGGUGUGUAACGCGUGGGAAGCUUCCCAUAUGUACGGCAUACCUCUCCGACAGGGGUGCUAAUACCGGAUAGUGUCUUCUGACCAAAGAUUUAUCGCCUUUGGUUGGGCCCGCGUGGGAUUAGCUAGUUGUGAGGGUAAUAGCAGACCAAGGGGCGCAUUCGUAGCUGGUAUGGGAGAAAGAUUAGCCACACUGGGACGGGGAAGCGGCCCAGAAUCCUACGCGAGGCGGCAGUGGGGGAUAGUGGAAAACGGCCGAAAGGAUGAUCCAGCAAGGACGGGAGAGCGAUGAAGGCAUGAGAGUUCUAAAGCUUUUUUAACCGGGAUGAUAAUGACAGUACCGGGAGAAUAAGCGCCGGCUAACUACGUG